rnacentral:rRNA from 1 species
GCGGUGUGGGAUGAGCCCGCGGCCUAUCAGCUUGUUGGUGGGGUGAUGGCCUACCAAGGCGACGACGGGUAGCCGGCCUGAGAGGGUGACCGGCCACACUGGGACUGAGAUACGGCCCAG